rnacentral:rRNA from 1 species
AACGAACGCUGGCGGCGUGCCUAACACAUGCAAGUCGCGCGAGAAAACCUCCGCAAGGGGGCGAGUAAAGCGGCGCACGGGUGAGUAACACGUGGAUAACCUGCCUAGAAGACCGGAAUAACCCUUCGAAAGGAGGACUAAUACCGGAUAAGACCACGGGGGCUUCGGCUCCUGCGGUAAAAAGGUGGCCUCUGUAUACAAGCUAUCACUUCUAGAGGGGUCCGCGGCCCAUCAGCUAGUUGGCGGGGUAACGGCCCACCAAGGCGACGACGGGUAGCUGGUCUGAGAGGACGAUCAGCCACACUGGAACUGAGACACGGUCCAGACUCCUACGGGAGGCUG